rnacentral:rRNA from 1 species
GACGAACGCUGGCGGCGUGCUUAACACAUGCAAGUCGAACGAAGAGCGAUGGAAGCUUGCUUCUAUCAAUCUUAGUGGCGAACGGGUGAGUAACGCGUAAUCAACCUGCCCUUCAGAGGGGGACAACAGUUGGAAACGACUGCUAAUACCGCAUACGAUCUAAUCUCGGCAUCGAGGAUAGAUGAAAGGUGGCCUCUACAUGUAAGCUAUCACUGAAGGAGGGGAUUGCGUCUGAUUAGCUAGUUGGAGGGGUAACGGCCCACCAAGGCGAUGAUCAGUAGCCGGUCUGAGAGGAUGAACGGCCACAGUGGGACGGAGACACGGCCCAGACUCCUACGGGAGGCAGCAGUGGGGAAUCUUCCGCAAGGGACGAAAGUCUGACGGAGCAACGCCGCGUGAGGGAUGACGGCCUUCGGGUUGUAAAGCUCGGUUAAUCGGGACGAAAGGCCUUCUUGCGAAUAGUGAGAAGGAUUGACGGUACCGGAAUAGAAAGCCACGGCUAACUACGUG